UCCCCAGUGUCUCAAUGGUAAAGAAUCUGCCUGUAAUACAGGAGACUCAGGAGAUGAGGGUUUGAGCCCUGGCUGGGGAA
rnacentral:tRNA from 1 species